GCUUCCGGAAGAGGUUUGUUCUUACGUGUCAUUCAUGUUUGGUUGAGCUUCUGUGUAUGUUCGCUGAUCAAUAGUCAAAGUUCAAGUUGUGAAGGCAGUCUAUGGAGGGACAGAACACUGUCAGAUUUCAUCAAAAAGAUCUUCAUGUGUUCCGAAGAUGAACAAAAGUCUUAUGGGUUUGGAACGACAUGAGGAUGGCCCCGAUGAACGCACGCACACUUACACACGCACACAGGUUUCCAUGUUUUAUGGGGACUUCCCAAUGACGUAAUGAUUUUUUUAAUACUGUACAAAUUGUAUAUUCUAUCCCCCUACAACCCUACCCCUAAACUUACCCAUCACAGAAAACUUUCUGCAUUUUUAGCUUUUCAAGACACUUAAUUAAGUAUGAUUUAGAAGCUGUUUUCCUCAUGGGGACCAAGAAAAAAAAAGUCCUCAUAAGGUCAAAAUUUACUGGUAUUACUAUCCUUGUGGGGACAUUUGGUCCCCAUAACAUAGGGAAUACCAGGUACACACUUACACAUACACACUCACACACACAGAGAGAAAGAGAGAGAGAGAGAGAGAGAGAGAGAGAGAGAGAGAGAGAGAGAGAGAGAGAGAAA